rnacentral:rRNA from 1 species
GAUGAACGCUGGCGGCGUGCCUAAUACAUGCAAGUCGAGCGAAUGGAUUAAGAGCUUGCUCUUAUGAAGUUAGCGGCGGACGGGUGAGUAACACGUGGGUAACCUGCCCAUAAGACUGGGAUAACUCCGGGAAACCGGGGCUAAUACCGGAUAACAUUUUGAACCGCAUGGUUCGUAAUUGAAAGGCGGCUUCGGCUGUCACUUAUGGAUGGACCCGCGUCGCAUUAGCUAGUUGGUGAGGUAAUGGCUCACCAAGGCAACGAUGCGUAGCCGCACUGAGAGAGUGAUCGGCCACACUGUGGCUGAGACACGGCCCAAACUCCUACGGGAGGCAGCAGUAUGGAAUCUUCCGCAAUGGACGAAAGUCUGACGGAGCAACGCCGCGUGAAUGAUGAAGGCUUUCGGGUCGUAAAACUCUGUUGUUAGGGAAGAACAAGUGCUAGUUGAAUAAGCUGGCACCUUGACGGUACCUAACCAGAAAGCCACGGCUAACUACGUGCCAGCCGCCGCCGUAA